rnacentral:rRNA from 1 species
AGCCGCUGUAAAAUGUAGGUCGCUAGUGUUGUCGGGAAUUUGUGGGUGUAAAGAGAGUACAGGCGGGAAGACAUUUUGUAAGUGACAUCUGUGGGCUCAUCCCAUAAAGUAUUUUAUAAAAUGUUUUUUUUAAUUAGUGCAGAGGUAGCAGGAAUUCUUGGUGUAGCGGUGGAAUGAGUAGUUAUCGGGAGGAACACUAGUGGUGAAGACGGCAUCCUGGGCACCAACUGACGCUGAGGCUCGAAAGUGUGUGUAGCACACACGAUUAGAUACCCUGGUAGUCCACACCGUAAACGAUGAUUACUAGGUGUUGGAGGAUUGACCCCUUCAGUGCCGCAGUUAACACAAUAAGUAAUCCACCUGGGGAGUACGACCGCAAGGUUGAAACUCAAAGGAAUUGACGGGGGCCCGCACAAGCAGUGGAGUAUGUGGUUUAAUUCGAUGCAACGCGAAGAACCUUACCAAGUCUUGACAUCCCUUGACAGGCAUAGAAAUAUGUUUUCUCUUCGGAGCAAGGAGACAGGUGGUGCAUGGUUGUCGUCAGCUCGUGUCGUGAGAUGUUGGGUUAAGUCCCCCAACGAGCGCAACCCCUAUCUUCAGUAGCCAGCAGGUAAUGGCUGGGCACUCUGGAGAGACUGCCAGGGAUAACCUGGAGGAAGGUGGGCGACGACGUCAAAUCAUCACGCCCCUUAUGAUCUGGGCGACACACGUGCUUCAAUGGCGGCCACAGAGUGAGGCGACCCCGCGAGGGGGAGCAAACCACAAAAAGGCCUUCCCAGUUCGUCCUGUGGUCGGCACCCCGAUUACUCGAAGCAGGAAUCUCUAGUAUUGGCGAAUCAGAAUGUCGCGGUGAAUACGUUCCCGGCUCUUGCACUCACCGCCCGUCA